GGCAUAUGGUACUGUGGCUGAUACGGUUGACGAAUACCUCCGGCUCGGUGAAACUACUACUGAUCAUGUUUGGAAAAUUUUGUGGACGGAAUAAUAUAUUUAUUCGGCGAUGAGUACCUAAGAAGACCAACACUGGCUGAUCUUCAACGUCUACUUGCUAUUAGAGAGCAACGUGGAUUUCCCGGGAUGAUAGGAAGCAUCGACUAUAUGCAUUGGGAGUGGAAGAAUUGUCCUACCACAUGGAAAGGUCAAUAUUUACGUGGUUCUGGAAAACCCACAAUCGUCUUAGAGGCGGUUGCUUCGUAUGAUCUAUGGAUAUGUCAUGCGUUUUUUGGACCUCCAGGUACCUUAAAUGAUAUCAAUGUUCUUGAUCGCUCACCAGUUUUUGAUGAUAUAAUAAAUGGUCAAGCUCCGCAAGUCACUUAUUCUGUAAAUGGAAGAGAGUAUCAUUUGGCUUACUAUCUCACCGAUGGUAUUUAUCCGAAAUGGGCAAAUUUAUCCAAUCUAUUUCAAUACCACAAGGGCCGAAAGCAGUUUUAUUUGCUCAACAUCAAGAAGCUGUCCGAAAAGAUGUCGAGCGUGCUUUGGGAGUCUUACAAGCUCGCUUUGCCAUCGUUAAAAAUCCAUCACGUUUUUGGGAUAAAGUCAAAAUUGGGAAGAUUAUGAGAGCAUGUAUCAUACUCCAUAAUAUGAUAGUAGAAGACGAACGAGAUGGAUACACUCAAUAUGAUGUUUUAGAGUUCCAACAAGGGGAAGACAACGAAAGUUCACAUGUGGAUCUAACGUAUUCUACAGAUAUCCCGACAAAUAUCGCUAAUAUGAUGGGUGUUCGAACAAGAAUUCGUGAUAGACAAAUGCAUCAACAACUGAAAGCUGAUUUGGUUGAACAUCUCUGGCGUAAAUUUGGACGUGAUGACGACAACAACUGAGCUGGAAUGUUUCUUUUAAAUUAUUCUCGUUUAUUUUAAUAAUCUUUGUUUUAAUGUUUUUUUAAUCUAUGUUUAAAAUUUUAUCUUUUAAUAUGUUUUAUUUAAUAAAUAAAUUUUAUGUUUAAUUAAAUUUUGUUUAAUUAAAUUUUUUCUUUAAGAACCUCAAAUUAAGAACCUACCAUUGCACCUCGAAAACUAAGAGUAUCUUAACUACAAUUUCUUAACAAUCAUUAAUUACUAAAAAAAUAUUAAGAUACCCAAUUGGGCUCUUAGGGUUAAGAGCACCAUUAACGCGGUUUCCUUUGGUGGGUUUUUAAUGUUUUUAUGAUUAAAAAAAAAGAAAAUUAUGCAAUUAGAGAAAGAACGUCUCUUAAUUAGGGUCCAGAAGACACGUCUCUUAUGAGACACGUGUUGGGCAUUCACGUCUCUUUCUCUCUCUUCCGAAAUCAACUCCGCCUCUCUCUCUCGUGAUCUCUCCUCCUCGACUAUCUCUCCUUGGCUCUGUGCCGCGUUAUCCCUCAUCCUCUCCAUGAAUUCCUCCCAAGCUUGCUUCUUCCACUCUCCUCUUCGACCCAUCUCGCUUCCCCAAUCCUCCUAUGGUUUCUUCUCAAAGCGUAAGCUUCUCUUCCUCUGAUUACAUCUGAAUCAAAGCAAUUACUUAUCAGGACACAGUCUGUUGCUGAUAAAUUAAGAAUCAGAGCAAUCACUUAUCUGUCAAUUGAUUCUGUUUUGUUGCUUUUGUUUAAUUUCUUGUGGGUUUCUUAAAUAUGACAAUCGAUGUUGAUGCUAUCGAAGAUGAUGAUGAUGUUGUUGAGUCAACUGCUUCUGCUUUUGAUCGAGCUAAAAUUACAAGAUUGUGAUUGAUGAUGAUACCAAGUGAUCAUGUAAAUGUGUUGUGCACAGGUCCUUUGUCAUGUUCUUCCAUCCUUGCACUUCUCUCCAAUACUCUGUUUUUGCAGCCACAGAGAGAACAUAUGUGGUGCCUAGACGACAACAUGAGACCAGAGCUUCCUGGGUUUUAUUUCGACGAGGAGAGAAGAAAUAUUUUGCAAUUAAAGGUCUUAUCCCAGGUUCAAAACCUUCUUCUUCUUCUUCAAAAGCAGCAGAACAAAAGCCUGAAUCAAAGCCUUUCAAGGAACCUAAUUAUCAGAAGAGAAAUUAACUGAAAGCAUUGAAGCUGCUUUGUUCCCGAGAGCUACGUGGCAGUGUUAUUGCUCUUAAUAAUAAGAAGAACAAGUCUAACUUCAAGGAGGAGAUUGAAAAGACACACGCCUCUAACCCUCUGGUGUGGAGAUAUGAUUCUACGGAAAACAUAGGCGAUGCUGCUUUGAAAGAGUUUCAGGUUGAUAUACAAACAUCUCAAGGCCUCACCACAAAGAACAUCCUAGUAGGAGGCAGUAAUUGAGGCUGCUUGAGGUAUGUUCUAUGAGUUAAGUCUCUUCCUAGAAUUAACAACAUUAGAUUGUUUUCAUUCCGAUCUAUAUGCUUUGGACAUGUCUAAUUUUUUUUUUUAAGACCCCCUAAAUAAAAAACUACCAUUGGAAGGUAUGAAUCAAAGUGUUUGUUAAACAAGGUUCUUAAUUACAUUUAAUUAGUAAAAUAUUCAUUAAGAGACCCGAUGAAAUCUGUGGGUUAAUGAUGCUCUAAUGUUGCUCUUAGCAAAUAUUCUUACAAAAUUCAGUUUAUAAACUUUUGGGUGUCAGAUGACCCCAUUGCUCAUCACGUGGGUCCGCCACUGACGCUAAGCUUUAUCAACAGAUUUUUUAAAGUAAUUUUGUAAUUUGAAAACAAUUAAACCGUAUCAUAGGAAAAGUAGUCUUUAAUUAUUCAGAUAGUCUGAUUAAGUACACCGAACCAUAGAAUACAAAAGAUUAAAAAGGAAAUAAGAAAAAGUUUACAAAGAUAAGGCUCCUCUAAAUACUAUAUUAGGCCAAACAAAGGAAUAUUACAUACUAACUCUAUAAGUCACUCCUGGCUAGCUACGAAUAAACUAACCACACCUUUAGCUCUUGGAGAAUGAAGAUCUUAAUUUUGUCACAUCUCUUAUAGUUUGGUUGCUCACGCAUACAAAAAUUUAAAUUAGUAAUACAUAUUCUACUUGUACUUUUUUUUUCUACUUAUACUUUUGAUUGAACUGUUUUUACGAUAAGGCAAUUCCAAUCAAAUUAAAGAGUGUCAACAAGGUUCAAAAUCGAAUUUUGAAAACUUUUUUUUUUAAAUCGAAGGAACUUUAUUAAAGAAGCAAUAUAUACAAUAAACAACAAAGACAGAAUUAAACCAUACAGAGAACAUUGAUCAAUUAUGACCUGCAAUAGAGUCCCGUGCUGAUCAUAAUACCAAUUGAGGCUUGUUUCAAAUCUUUCAUUCCGCACAACUUGAACACGUGACGGGCUUCAGUCACAUAUUUAAACCAGUUUUUUUCAGUAUAUACAUUAAACGGUUUUUUGAACUUGCAAAAAGACCCGUUCCAAACUAAUUCUGAUUAAAAGACCAGAUUUUCUUACACCUUACAGCGUUUAAAAAAAAUUAUAAAGGAGUGGAAGUUAUGUAUUCUAGUAUUGAUUAAUGUUAACGCUGCUGCUAUUAUAAAUAAUUGUUAUUAGUGAUAUCUACAAGUACUGCACAAAAAAACCUUGUGGUUCAAAACAAUGCGCUCGUCUCCCAGCAUUAACCAAAAGUAUUAAAUAAAAAGUAAAGUUAGGUAUAAGUGUUUUCUUUAAUACAAAAUAUAUUAUUUCAAACCGGAACGGGAAUUUUAGAUCCGGUUACAAGCACGAUUCAAACAAAAUAACCCAAGUCAACGUAUUACAGAACCGGUUUCGCCCACCAACUAAACCUGGCACGUUCCAUCGGUCUGAUUUUAAAAUCCCUACGAACCGGUAGCCGUUCUCAACCUUCGAAAAUGACCAUUGGGAAGUGAGGUUUUCCUCGUUGCCUCGGAUGCCGGGAUUUCCGCUGUUGUCUCCGGAGUAACCAACUAUGAACCAGAGCAACCAACUAUGAACGUGUCGACAAGCUCAAAGAUGGAUCGUAGAAAUCACCGGAAGAGGAGAGACAAGUGAGAGAGAGGCUCUCAAAAACACAACGAGGAUGCCAUAUACGACAUCUCCGACCCGUGGCGUUGAGCACCUCCACGAAACCAAACACCGAGACCGUUGACACACGAAAACGGCACCAGCUAAGCUCGUUCCUGAGUAGUCGGACCUCCAGGACUCUCACGACGCAGACGAAAAAAUCGAAUCUAACCCAAGACGCCAAGAGUUAGACGACAGACCCACACCGACGCCGUCCAGCCUCAGACCCACAACAACAACCAGAAUAAACUGGACGCCGGAUCUGAAAGAGAACCGCUCUUCCUCCUCCAAUCGCCACCUACUCUCCAAGUAGCUUUAAGGAGCCACCUGCAAAACCCUAAGAACCGACCCUGCCAACAGCAACCACACCGCACGCCGCGCCUUGACUCCAAGAUCUAGCCUAGCCCGUGCCGGAACCGGAGCUCCUCGCGAUUAGAGACGGCACCGAACAAACUAUCCGAUACAUAGUCGCAACAAAGAGGAGAGAGUGAGAGACACCAUGACAAAGCAAAAGACAAAUGAGAGCGAGAGAGAGAAGAGGAGGUGCCUCCGGCUCCGUCCGGACGCCGGAGCGUUACUCAAUUUGAUUUUAGGUCUUGACUCGUGAGAGAGAGUUUACGGGAAGAAGAGAGAAAGUUUUAACAAUUUCAAAGCCGAGUUACACAAGGUCCAGUUAGGUAUAAGUGUUGUUUGAGUAAAAUAACAAAAUCAGGAACUAACUAAAUAAAUCCCACCCCAGAAAUUAAUUAUGACUAGUUAUAAAUUGUUUCGAUGAUGUUUUGUGACUCUUGAAAGUGAACGCGGUUUCGAAUGAGGUCCCUAGCUCACCAUGCAUAUCUCUAGAAAAACAACGAUUCGACGGUGGGAAUAUCUUUUAAAAUAGAGAUGAUAUAGUGAUUUAUAGUAACUGACCAACACCAAAUUACUAAAAAACUAUUAUUCAUUCUAGCCAAUUCAGACAAAGGAAAUUCAAUGAUAAUAUACUUAGUAGUUAGUAGUAGCCUUUAGCCAUUUACUGAUUAUUUGCCGACAUUUAGAUUUUGUUUUUACAAAGAAAUAACGAAAGCAAAUUAUUUGUAUUUUUCGCUCUCGUGCUUGUCGAGUUGUGGUAGUAAAUUACUAAUUUCCGCAACGGUAAAAGUGAGUAGAUUCUCUUUUCUUAAAAGAUGCAGUAAGUUGUGUUCUUGUGUAACAAGGCUUAGAUCGCAUGUUUUAUUUGUCGACUACCUUUCAAUAUUUAUUCCUCCAAUAGCGUCAAAUAGUUACUGUAUACAAAUUGUAUAAUGCAUUAUACAAGUGCCCUUAUUUAACGGAGUCUAGUAAAAUAAACAUAUUGUUGUUUUCCUACUAAUUUGUUAUUAUUCAACUGUUAGUUUUAUUUUAGUUUUAUUUUCAUACCACGUAUUUCGCUCAUGUGUUAUUGAAUAAACCAAAAUUUAAAGGUUCAAUACUCUUUCCGUUUCAUUUUAAUUAUUGUUUUAGACUUGGACACACAGAUUAAUAAAACAUUUUAUUUUGUAUAUUUACUAAAUAAAAACAUCAUUACCAA